rnacentral:rRNA from 1 species
UACGAAGGGGGCUAGCGUUGUUCGGAAUCAUUGGGCGUAAAGCGCGCGUAGGCUGCCAGAUAAGUCCGGUGUGAAAGUCAAAGGCUCAACCUUUGAAUGCCGCUGGAAACUGUCUGGCUAGAGUCCGGAAGGGGCGAGUGGAACUCCUGGUGUAGCGGUGAAAUGCGCAGAUAUCAGGAAGAACACCAAUGGCGAAGGCAGCUCGCUAGGACGGUACUGACGCUGAGGCGCGAAAGCGUGGGGAGCAAACAGG